rnacentral:rRNA from 1 species
GACGAACGCUGGCGGCGUGCCUAAUACAUGCAAGUAGAACGCAGUUGCGAACGGGUGAGUAACACGUAGGUAACUGCCUCAUAGCGGGGGAUAACUAUUGGAAACGAUAGCUAAUACCGCAUAAUGUGAGAUUGACCUGGGUUGUAUUAGCUAGUUGGUGGGGUAAAGGCUCACCAAGGCGACGAUACAUAGCCGACCUGAGAGGGGGAUAGGCCACACUGGGACGGAGACACGGCCCAGACUCCUACGGGAGGCAGCAGGAGGGAAUCUUCGGCAAUGGGCGGAAGUCUGACCGAGCAACGCCGCGUGAGGGAAGAAGGUUUUCGGAUCGUAAAGCUCGGUUAUUAGAGAAGCGUAAAUUAACCAGAAAGCGACGGCUAACUACGUGCCAGCGGCCGCGGUAAUA